GAUGGCUUUAUGGGCAGCCCAGGGCCUGCAGGGAAAUGGCUGCCAUGAGGAAGAAAUCUAGGGAAGCUGAGUGCUGCUGGAAUCUGAGUGGUGACUCUGAACCCCUAAGCUUUAUCCAGGGAUUUCUCAGCAUCGCCUGCCUGGUUUACUAAGGAUGAGUGUCGUGGGGAAAGGUAUGUGAUGGUGUAAUAGCUGUCCAUGUCAUGGAAGGCUGGAUGGCUACAAGCAAUGAAAUUUGAAAUCAAUCCCAAAUCCUGCCGAGUCCAGGAGACCUUCACACCCAUGAAGGCACCACUGCUGAGUCAGGCCAAUGGCUGCGUGCACACCCAAGAAAUACACACGUGCUGAUAGAAAACAGAUUUAAAAGGUACCUAAAAUAAUAGCUUUUUAAGACAGUCUUACGAUCACAUAACUUGUUGGGAAAAGCAUACCAUGGCUCACAAUCUGAAUUAAACAUUGUCAUUGUGGUAUAGAAGAAGGUGCAUGCUCAGGAGUUGCUAUCUGACUGAGUUGCUGAAGACAGCGAGUCACUGACAGAGGAGUAGGAAUUAUCAAAAGAGAAGUGUCUGCCACCCUGUUUCUUUUGUGCUAACCACCAACAGCUGGAGACCAGGCCAAAGAGAGGCAAGAGAAGCACGUCUCAAGGAAGCAUGUGCUUAAGCACGAAGAUGAACAAAGCUUCCAGGGCUAUUCAAAUCAGCUCUGGCUAUACCAAGUCCAUGCCUAUCCCUUAUACUUUCCAUAUAUUUUAAUAAAUUCAAAGAGAGCUGCUGAGAUUAAAGGGAAGAGCUUUGUGGUGGACAACGCGAAAUGAACAGGCUCUUCCUGCUGUGCAAGGCAGCGACUUGCUGAAGAUGGAGCCUGCACAUCAGAGGAGAGGAUCAUAAGGAUUCUGCCAGGUUUUAAUGCAACAUACCGGCUAUUUUGACUUGGUCGUCUUCUAAUCAAACUGGAGAUGUUUAGCUAGAAACUCCUUUCCCUGUUAUUUCAAACAUAGCCCAAGCACAGCUCCAGUGUCUGCUGAGGAUAGGUUGGGCAUGGAUGGGAGAGAGCUGACCCUACCUCGAUUUGUUGUGUUCCUUCCUUAUCUGCCCAUUCUAAUGGAAGUCUGCCACACAUCAUGGAUGCAAAGUGUGGAGCAUCAGAUGUUCACAGCUUCCCAUUGUGAAGUGAAGGUGUUGGGACCACUUUGUCUUCAGGACUGGACCAACGCUUUAACUACAAGAAAGUGUCAGAUAUGCGGGAUGAUGAUGCAUGGAAAGAAGAAAAACAUUCCUGAGUCAUCCUGUUUCCUGAGCAUAAGGAGGCACAAGAUAGUAAGUGUUGGAUUUUCAUCCUACCUUUACAUUCUGUGAUGGGGCACCAUUGCAAGCUCUCCUUACAAAGCUUUGAGCAGAGAGAUUAUCAGAACCAUGAGGUUUGUGGUGUAUUCACAACGGAACAGGCAGCUUAAAAAAGGAUGUACUAUUUGAUCAGCAGUUUCCUGCAUAUGGAAAUCUUAGGUCACCUUGCUGUUCCUUGAUGUCUAAAAUCUGCUAUCAGGCUUCUGCAAGGAAAUAUAGAUUAGUAUUCAGUGCCUUGUAGUAUUCUUUUAUUAAUAUUACUAUUUUUUCAAUUUUAAGGACAAAAACAGCAGAACAGUGCUGUGAUGACAAGAAGCUGAGUGCUGAGCCCACGCAGGGCACUGGGGAGGGUCACUGGGAGUGAGUCAGGUUGAUGUCUGCUGAGAUGGUUUUGUUUGCAGUGUUUUCACACGUGUAUUCAAUAAGGCUUUUGUUUUACUGAAAGGAAGAGACACUAUACAGCAUUAUCCCGAUUUUGAAGUGACAGUGCCAAGGGGACUUCAGUAAAGGAUUUGAUGGCAAUUGAAUCUGAAAAGUAAAGCUUUGUAAUUGCUUAGUUAGUUUUGAAGUAAUGCUUAUAUUUAAGAUUUAUGUACAAAAACAGGCUAUAUCAACAGUAGUGAAGUGGUUUUGGGCCAAGUCUUUUUUAAAGCAACUUAUGAACAGAAGGUCAUUUCAGAUUUCUUUCUUCUCCUGCAAAGACACAAACACAAAUCCCACCUCGCUGUGUUCGUAUAAUAUGUAAUACAUCAUUAUGCUGCAUUUAGUAAGUGCUUGUACUUCCACAAGAAUAUCUGAGCUUUACUCUUGAUUAUAGUAAACUUCCCAAUGCAAGUAAAAGCAAUUAUUAUCCUCAGAGUUUCUGUGACCUGUUAGGAAGACAUAAGCUGUUACAAGACUUCUGAAGGCUCAUCUUACAGUCUGUAAAUCCCACCUUAAAAAUACAUAAUUUGGAGACUAUUGAGUCCUCUGAUGAUACUAUGGUAUUGAAUCAUCUUUAUAUAAUUGUGCUGGUGAAUAUAAAGUAUCAUUGUUUUCAGCAUCUUUUAUGAAAGCUGUUUUGACCUUCAGAUUAAAGGAUCCAUAUGGAUUUCCAAAUGAAAAAGUUGGAGCUCCUGUUUAAAACUUGAACUCCAGCUCGGCAUGAAGGCAUCAGAUGUGCUUCCACUUGAAAAAGCGUUGUUGUACCAGCAUAUAUCCCGCCUGAAUUUUUCUCCUGGGUAAAAUCUUAUAAAUGUGUGUAUCGUGCAUAAUGAGGAUUGGAGGUUAGCUGCUUCCAGUGAAUUCCCUUUCAAAGUGUAAGGAAGAUGCAGAGCAGCAAGGAGGAGAAAUCCAUUGGUAUUUGAGCUCUGUAGGAUGAAGAGGUUUGCUGCUGGGGGAAGAUCAAGAGGAGGCAGUAGGAAUAUUUUGGGCACUUCUGAAGGAGAGAUGGAGACCAUCUGGUAGAGAGGAUGCUUAAAGGAAAAGUGCCAGGACAGAGAUAAAAGUAAAGGGAAAGGAAAUAGUGACUGAGUAACAUCAAAGAGUGAGGCUGACUAUAGAGCAAAAAGGAAGACAUAGCAGUGACCCAACAUAGGCAAAUCAUAAUACAAAUGGUGGCACUGGGCGACGAAUCCAUAUGAAUCGGUGAAGGCUCGGGGGAAAAGCUCAGCAUUUUAAUUUCAGGAAAGUCUACAGGAAAGUGGUGUUGACAUCUUUGGAAGGCUUAUAAUUUAAAACUGAUGCAGUAAGCAGGGUUCCCGCUGCUUCAGAAAUACUGUCCUGGAGUCUAAUCCAGAUACUGUAACUACAGCAGAAUUUUAAAUGGAGAGAUGCCAAGAAGAAUGUUUCUUCCCUCAUCGGCAUCAGCAUCUUUUCAUUUGAAUGACUUUUAGGGCAUUAGAUGUUUCCGUUGAACUGCUUUCUAAGGCUCGUGUCCUGAAGCAUUGGUUGGUGUGUGGUCCUUCCCUGUGUUGAGCUGGAGCCGAUCUCAUGUAAAGAAAGGAAGAUGCUGGUUUUGCUUUUCUCCUGCUGAAGGAGAAUAACUUUGGGCCAGUCCCUUUCUCCUGCCAAAGUCUGAAAAACUUUUCUAUCAUUGGAAUUCCACUGAGAGUGGAGCAGUGGUAAGCCCCGUGGCUUCUAUGGGUAGAGCAGUACAGGCUAAGAGAGUCUGAUCAUCUCUUGUGCUUUGUUUUACACCCAACCCUAAACAUGGUGAGUCAGGACAGGCGAUGGGCCUAAUUAUAAAGACUGUCUGUGCUCCUGCCUCUCUUACUCCUUCCCAUCUGUAUUUAGGAGGACUUUCUGCAUCCUAGGGGAACCGUGCUUUAGGAGGAUUUGAGAUCAAGGCCUGAAAUAAUCUCAUGGUUUUCUUCCUGCCUGCCUUUCUUUCCUUCUUAACAAAACAGGUGUGUUACUUUUUUUACUGAAGUCGGUCCAGGGAAAGGAAAAGAAGAAAGUACUUCCAGAGGGUAAUUAGUCCCAUCUUAAAACAAGUGUGUAAGACAGGUAGGAUAAGUCUCUCUCUCUGAAAGUGCCAAUCUGUCACCACUAUCUAUAGAAGGAGCCUUCACGAGUAGCUUAGAGUAGGUGUUUGACUUUUACACAGUUAAAUUUAGAGGAGAUGAUUGCCACUUUUUAAGUCAGUCAAAGUGCUUGUUUAUAAUUGAUUAACCAUUAUAGACUGAAGAGUUGUGAGAGAGAACAAAAGUAAAAAUAUAAUGCCAUUGAUAGAGAUAUCGUGUAAUACGGAAUAGCAGUAACAGCAAUUGCAGAUGGUUAACAUUUUCAUUCCCCAUUGUUUUUAUUUUACUGUUAAAUCUUCCCAGAUUUUAGGUCUUGUUUGAUCCUGUAGAAGGAAAAAAUUUCCCCUGCUUUAGUGUAAGCAAAAAACUGCUGAAAUAUUUGUAGGAUUAAGAAGUGAUUUGUCCUGAAAAUGUCAAUUCUUAUAUGUAGGGUCAUUAAUCCAUAAAAUGAAUUUGCAAACAUUUCUAAGUUCCCUUUCGUGUUGUUGGUGUUUUACUUGACAUGCUUCUGACCGCUCUCUCAAUGAAGGCUGCACUCAGAAGAUCCUGCAAGGCGUACACUGACAGUGUGUGGGACUUGGUUUUGCAUGUGUCUUGACCUGGCAUAUACAGUCUGUUACAAUGAAAUAAACUCACUUGUCAUUUAAGAGUAUUAAUCAUAUUUCAGGCUGUUGCCCAAGAAUUUCAUUGUGUACAAUGCUUUCACCAGCCAGAACCAUACUGCAGAAAGUAAAUAGAUAAAAUCACUUUCUCUAGUAAAAAUAAUUCUUGACUACAGCCUCGCUUGCAGAGUAGAUAAUGCUUGUAGAAAUGGCAGAUGCUCUGAAGGUUUGGAGUAUUGUGACAAUAAGAAUUUUAAACAAAGUUGGAAAAAGCAGAUGGUAUAUAUGGACGGGAAAUCCUGUGGUAGUUUUGAUUUUAUGCAAGGAAAAGAAGGAGUUCCUUAGGUCCAUAAAUCUGUUUGUUUGCAGUACUCAAACAGAGAUUUUCAUGAUCUUAGCUUUCCUUUCUUCAAAAUGUUGCUUUCAAGUACAGAUGGGCCUAUAUACCACAAGUUUGGGAUCCAGAUUGGGGCUUGGACCUGACAUUCAUCAGAGCGUAAGCAUAUUUGAACCUAGCAUUUGAGGUCAGCCUCUUGUGGAGUUAACCACCUACUGAUUGAGUAGAUCUCUCCUAUAUGUCGAGGCAUAGGUGUAGAAAGUACAAUGAUUUUAUUUAACUUGAUCUGUAAGGUAUUUAAAUUUAAUUCGGAAGACUUCUCAUGAAGCAGGAGGCUGUAUUUAUAAUUAUUAUUGUGUCUGAAGGGUGAAAUUACAUAUGACAAUUAAAUAUGGUGGAUAUUAUAAUAGGAUACAUACUUAAAGUGGUUUCCAAUCUAAAUGUGUUUGAAGUCAAUAGGAGUACCUACGGCAAAGUAUUCGGAUCCUGAUUUAUAAUCUACCACUUUUACCCCAGUAUGGUUAUUUAUGGAUAAAUUGACCUGUUCCUAGAAUAGAAUAUGAUAUGUUAGUAAAACUGUACGCCUAGGUGUGGAAAGACAAUUAGCCUAUAAACACACUGACUUCCUCUUUAGGUUGAGAACACCUCAUAUUUCCAAGACUAAUGGUUUCUAAUCUGUUUUUAAAUGUUCCAUUUGGAUAGUGAAGGCGUAACUAUCAAAACACUGUAAAAUCAUAAUGCCUGUGCAGCUAUAAAUUACUGUUUUCAAAAUGAGCUGGAGGUCUCCAACUUAUUCCCAAGUGCAGAAAAGUUAGAUAACAUAAAACUGCUCAGAAAUGACUAGAAGCAACUUUUCUGGCUUUUUCCAAAUGCUAGGAAAUCGUGGAUCUGCCCACUAACUCCCUAGCAAUGCCCAUAUGGAUAGCAAUAAAGCUAGUCCCAUAAAGAAUACUUGAAUUGAUCAAAAGCAUUUCAGAUUAGAGAUCAACAGAAAGAGCUGUGUUGCUUUUUGUUUGUUUGUUUAUUUAUUUAUAUCCUGGAAAUCUCUCUGAUACGAAAAAUAUCUGACUUAUUUUUCAUUCAUCAAAUUGUGGACUGCUUCAUAUGAGAUACGAACUGCAUGACCUGCUGAUGGCGAAGUGCUGCUUCCAUGGAAGAUGCAGCUUUAAACAAUAAGAGAAAGCAUCAACCCUCUCCUGCCAUAUUUUGAACUUUGGAGUGUGCACAAGGAUGGAAAAAUACAGAAGGAUGGAAAAACACAAGGAGUGGUGGGACACAACGCAAAGUGAGUCUGAGCUGCCUUUAACUUCAGCCUUUGCACUGUGCCAAUACACCAGGAAGAUGCAGUUUAUUCUACCAGGAAUGCUGAUAUCGCAAACACCUAUUUAAACACAGAAGUGUUGGAGGUUUGAACAUCUUUUAUGAAUACUACACCACUGUUUUAAGAAAAGACAAAUACAAGGAGGGAGAAAACAGAACCUCUGGGAUUUUUCUUUUUCCCUACAAAGUGCUAUGGGUGAAGGCUGUGGAGAAAAAUCUUCCCUGCCAGAAGCUGUGUACAGCAUGGGUUUCCCCAGUUCAGAUUUGAACCUCCCACCAGUUGUGUGACCUUCGGGCUGUGGGUGAGUCUGCGAUGACUUUCUUCUGUCUACCCAAAAGCUGCAUCCCUAAUGUAUAAUGUCUUCCCAGCAAUAUAAAAUAUCCCGGGUUGGGAUAUUCUAUGGAGAAACAGAUAUUCUGCUGUGAAGGACUCAAUGCAAUUGUAAUUUUCUGACAAAUGGAGUUUUUCUGAUCUUCCUGGGAGUUGUAGUGGCCAUAGCUGGUCUGAGUGCUCAGUGUUAUGAUGUGUUCUGUGAUUGACUUGAAAUUUGUACCUGAGGGGUUUGGAGUAAGAGACUGAUGUUGGUAUUUCUUUCCUUAUGAGAUUUGGUGUUGCUCUUGUUCUUAGGAAAUCCUCACCUAGAGGCGAGAGUACCUUCAGAGAUCUAUUCCCUGCUGCUGAGCAUGGAAAUCUCAAUAACUAACUUUUUUGGAAGGAGUUCUGUUCAUAUGAGCUUUGCUUUCCUGUACUUUGGGAUUGUUUCCAGUAGUUCAGUGUUUCUGCAGUGAAGUGACAAUGCAAUCUAAGAGAUGGUCCAUCUCCCCACAGAACACCUUUCUCUACCUUUGUGCUUUCCUUUGGUCUCUAUAGUUUCCUAAUUUUUUUUUUUUUGGUAAUCUUUCAUCUUUCUCAUUUCAAGUGUCCACUAGUUUUGAUCCUUACCAAAGAGCUUAUUUUUAUUUUUCAACCCUUUUGGUCUCAGAUAAGGGGAUUGAUCUUAACACUUUGAAAUCAGCAGUCAUUUGACCAUGGGCUUUGGAGACAGUUAAGCUCCCGAGGACCAAAACAGUGAAUACAGAACAGAAGCAGCCUUGAUUUAAUAUUGUGAACCUAAUAAGCCUAAUCCUCUGCUCUCUGUUUUUUUUUUUUUUCUGCUUGGACAUGGCCUACUGUACAGCAUUUCAGGUUUGAGGGGCAUUGAGAGAAAUCACCGUCACUUUCCAGAGCAGACAUCAAAGGCAAACUCACUUUUCCCAUUGCUUUUUAUCUUCCUUCUAUUUCUGAUGCAUACUUCAUAUUUUUUCCAUGCUGCCGCUCCAAUUUUUGCCCACUUUUGAUUUCUCUAUUAACAUUAAUUAGGCUCAUGAGCUUGAUCACCAGGUGGGUUUUCCCCAAGCUUCCACUGCAAUACUUCCCAUCAGCAGCAGACUUGUAAGGGAAUUUUGUUAAGCUGCAGAUAGGAGCCUAAUGUUAUUGGAUACGGAGUGUUUCAGUGCUAAGUGUGUUUUAUAUCAGUUGAAUUUGCCAGGAAGCAUUAUUGGCUUGAUUAUUUUUAAGCAGACAGGCUCGAGGGCCCUUGACCAGCAUCGGGGGGCAAUGAGAGAAGAGGGCCGUUAGCCAGGGGAAUGAUUCAUACCUCUGGAGCUCACCAAGUGCUCGUGUGUCUCAGGGAAGUAGCUCUGCAUCUUCCAGCUGAGGAAAAUGCAGAGAAGGGGGGAAAAAAAAGCCCUAAAAAAAAAAAAAAGAAAGAAUGAAAGAAAGAAAGAAAAAGAGAAAAGUAAAUAAAUCCCUGGAUUCAUUUCUGGAGAAUCUCAGCGCAUGUAAAGUCAGCUGCUAGGAAGGAAGAUUGGCACACACCUUUUGGACAUUUUGUGCAUGGUUUUCCUGGGCAGGUUCUUCCAGCGUUAAGUUUUUCCUGUAUUGAAUGUUAAGUAGCAUAAAAUACGAGCUGUCACGGGGUGAGCUGCAGCUUUUGUAGCCUUUGUUUUGUGAUGAUUUGCAUAUUCAGAAUCUGCCUUGGGUCUUCUUGUUUUUAUCCUCCUUCUUUUAAAACUGCAUUUACCUGAAGAAGGGCUUCAUUCUGAGUGCACCAAAUAAGCGUUUUCUCUGCAGUUGACUUUAAUCCGACCAAAAGAAUGAACACUUGGAGCAGAAAACCUUCUUUGGGUCCUACAGGGCAUUAGAACAUCUCAGGUACUGGCUGCUGCUUUAAUAAAAGGAUAGGAUUUCCAUUUACUUCAGGCAGGCUUAAUGUAUUGUUCUUGUAGUGAGACAGUCAGAAUGAGUCAGGAGCCAAAGAAUACACUUUAUAGACACAAAUAAUCGUAAAUUCAGAAUGUCACCUUUAGGCAGAGGCAUUUUUAUUAUUGUUAGUGGAGCUGCUGAGUAGGUUUGAUGUUUUAUUCUCUUGAGUACUAAAUGUUCCAGAGUACCACAGCCCUAUCUUUAUCAGGCUCACAAGGAGGGAGCACAGCCAAACUUGCUUCCUAUACUUCUCUAUGAUUGAUAGCAGAUGGCAUGCUUUAAAAUAAACCUAUCCAUUAGCAGUCCUCAGUGUUUUUACUCAAGGCAUUUACAACUGUCUCACCCAGAAAACACAUUUGCUCCGCAAGCUCGCUUCAGUCUGCAACAGCUGUACAGGUGCAAAUCUUUCAUUAACUCUUAAACAGUGGUGAAAUAAAAGUUGCACUGUAUUUUAUUUUUAGUGGAGAGGUUGUUUCUCAAAGGAGGAGUGCAUUCUAUUAUUCUCCCUUUGCAUAUGGCGGAGGUUCAUGUUAACUGAUGCAAAGUCAGAAUAUUUUUCUUCUGUCCUCCUUCAAAUUUUUAGGGUGAGACAAAUGUGGAUGUUUGUAGGCAAUACAAGGGGAUUGUAACUGGGGGCUGGGAUUCCUGGGGUCGCCCAGCUCCUCACCUCAAACAGCCCUGUGGGGGGGGAUCCUUCAUGGUACCCCCACCACUGCUUCAUCCUGGGGCUACUUUUUUUCUGUUCAUUUGGAAAAUGCAGGGUCACACACACACACACAGAUAUGCAUUCAACCCGAUUCUGAGCUCCCUUCUCAGUAAAUACAUUACUAAAAUCUGUCCCUGUAUUCACUUUACUUUGCUUAGAUUUCUAUGCAGUAGCCACAGAGGAUAUUAAAAUUGGCCUGGCAUUCCUGCCAAUACAACGAACCCUCAAGCACCUCCCAAAACAUUAGUGCACCAGCAGAUAGACCUUUAAAAUAUUAGUAGCAAACCUUAAAUAUUAGCAUUUAGCAUUAAUAUUAGACAAGACCUUAUAAUAUUAGAGCCAGAUAAAACAGUAUUAGCAGGGGUAUAGGAGUCAUUAAGCAGAAUAACCAUCACUGCCUAAAUGGAUGCUGAAACUUUUACAUGCAAACCAGUGUAGAUGAUAGGGACUUCAGAGAGACGAGAGGAUCCUUUCAUUUAAAAGGAGGUUGUAGAGACGAAGGUUAGGGAUUUGAAAGCUGGUAAAUAAAACAACACAGCGGGACAAGUGAUAUGGAAUGUGCCAUCUCGUUAGCCACAAUCACGUCCCGUGUUAUUUUUCUUAAGCUGAAAAGAUAAAACAAGCAGACAGGCAAUAUUCUGUUGCAAAUAAAUGGAAAUUGGGGCAUUUUUUUGUAUAAAUCUCGAGUUGCAGGAGGAAAAUACAAAUGCGUUCUCAGCACUGGAGGUCUAUGUAGGCUAACAGAGGUGCUACAGUAAUUUGGCAGGAUGGCGUGUGGCUCGCAUGCCCUUUUGCUGGCAUGAUGAGCAAAGUCUGGGGAACCUGAGCUUGGCACCAUGAAGGAGGGGUUGAAGCAGCCCAGGGUCUACAUAGAGCAGUGCUCCGGAGAGCAGCCAUCACCAUAGCUCAUGUCAGCUCGUCCCGCGAGCACCUGGAGGAUUUGGUGCUAAAUGAGAUGGGGGGAGAAAAACAAGGCCAGCUGUAGACAUAAGAACUUUAAGAGCAUCAGUGCUUGCUUCCAGCUAAUCUCUCCUGAUGACUCCUGUAAGCAGGCGAGGCUGGUCGGUGCUGUUAAUUAUUCAAAGCCCCGCACCAGUUUCAUAGCUGAGUGGUGUAAGAGGAUGUGUAGUGUCCCCAUUUCUUAGUCUGUCUGGGGGAAAGGCACGAAACGCAGCUUCUCCUGCCAUCCCUGCCUGCCAUCCCUCUUUACAGGUGGGAAAUGUGAGCCGGAGAGAGGCUGCAGCCAUCCCCAUCCCUUGGCCAUCUGGCAUUGUGAAACCUCACCUGUCUCUGUAGGGCCUGAUUUGCUGAGUGCAGGGAAGGCAUCAGGAGAGUCAUUCUGUAUCUUAACAUAAUGAAUGCACUGCUUUGAGGUAUUGUGCCCUACACUUUUGUGUGCAGAAUAAUCCAAAAGAUAUCCAAAAUAUAUGAUGUCUCCAUUGUUAAUGCUCCAUCAUAGGAAGAAAGGGAGGGAAGGGCACAUGCUUCAAGGUUUGCAUUACAUCCACAAUGUCCUCAGGCAGUACAAACAGCACGCUUUGAGAAUUACACAUAUUUUCUCUAUUUAUCACUUGCAUUAAGACAUAGAGUGGAAAAGGGGUGGCAGUGGAGUCAUGUGCAGCAUUAAAUACAUAUUCCUUAUGUUGUUUGCUGUCCCAAAGAGGCUGCCAAGGCAUUUUAGUACAUCUUAUUGUAUGAUGCAAAGCAGUUGGAAAAAAGUAGAAAAAUAUCCAUAGCAAAAAAAAAAAAGAAAAAAAAAAGCAAUAAGAUCUCUUAGAUCUGUACUAGAAACAAGUACCAGUACAAUGCUGAUAUGUCAAUUACAUGCUUUAUCUACAUACAGCCAAUGUACCUGCCAUUGCAGCUUCUUUUAGUUCCAUUAGAGAAGGCAACAUGUAUUUUCUUACGACUUUUGGAAUUGCUGAUUGACUUUUUUUUGUGGAAUUGAGUUUCUGUUUGGAGCCCAGAUCACACAGAGCUCCUUUAGCUUGGAGGUGGGAAGUGAAACCACUCAACUUGUGUUGCGCUUAGAGAUGACUUCUCUGUUAGCUUCUUUUGGUCCACUGGUGCUGUGGGGGUGGAGGUACCCAGACUGAAAUGAUUUGCAGCCUUCCAAAGGGGAAAAGUAACUGUGCAUGGAAUAACCGUGUGUAAAAUAGCAUCUGCAAUGCUCAGAGUCUGGUGUGUUUGGUUGCCACUGACCUCAGUGUGGCUAUUUCCAGGAGUCAGGGUGCACAGGUGCCUAAAUAUCUACAGGCAUUGGCAUGUACCAUCCUCCAGAGAGGCUAGGAAAGGUUUUCUUAUUUCAAUGAGAGCCACAUUCAGCCUCAAAAUUAAGCAUAUUCUUAAGUGCAUAUAUGAGCUGGGGGCCAUAGAACACAGCGUAUUAAGAUACCACACAUCACUGCAAAUUAUGUAGGAGCUAUACAGUAUAAUUCAAUUUAGUAAAAAAAAAAAAAAAAAAAAAAAAAAAAAAAGGUCCUUUUAUCCCCCCUUCAAACCUCUUUAUUUAUUAAUGAGCUAGAAAGAUGUGACGUUAUUAAGACAUGAACCAAUUUGCCCUGGAUGCCAUCCAGCACACCAGGAACCUGUGUUGCUCUGUAAUAGCCCUUUUUUCUGAAGGAAACACUAAGUCCCAGGCCCACCCCAAGCUGGUGAGUGCUGGAGGAGGGCCUAUGGCCUGCAGAAGGGGAGGGUGGAGAGGGGCCAUGCUUAAUCCCCAGUAGAUUUAGCCUUUUGGUGAGUAAGAUGGAUUUCUGAUGUUGGCCUCCAUGCCAUUCAUAGCAGUGUUCCCAGUAGUAAACUUGUGCCUGCACUAAAAAUCCCCCUCUCAUGCCCCCACUUCCUUGCCAAAACUAAGCUCAACUAAAAUAAAUCAUAUUUUAGGAAGCUAAUUGUGCAGCCAAAUAGCAGAAAGGUAUUGAAAAACUGUUGUGUGCCUAACAUUAAAUGAAUUUACAUUGGCAGUAGGGAGCAUGCAUAACAAAAAUAAAUACAGGGACAUGGCAAAAGUGUAAGCAGUGGAAUUUAAACAAAAAAAUGUAUGUAAUGCCAAACAUUGGGAAUGGUAUUCAGACUUACUGCAGAACUAAUAUUCUAUGCAGUCACUGCACACAAUUUUUUACAGUUAAAAUACAUUCUGAAUGAAGUUUGCUCUUUUAUCAGUUUAUUGUAUUUCUUGGAAAAUUGAAACGUGUCAGGAUAUGCACUUUUCUCCCUGCUCCUGAAGUGUGUAUAGGUCCCUUCACCAACCUGUGGGCAAUACGUUAAGAAAAAAAAAAAAGGGGGAAAGCUCUGGCAUAGGCUGCCCUGUAGAGGGGUCACCGUCCCUAGAGGUGUUCCAGAACCGUGGGGGUGUGGCACUGAGGGAUGUGGUCAGUGGACAUGGUGGGGGUGGGUUGGUGUUGGGCUUGGGGAUCUUAGUGCUCAUUUCCAACUUUAAUGAUUCUGUGAAAAAAAUAAAAUGAGGAAGAAAAAAAAAAACCCAAACAGUUUUUGGAGAAGAUUUUAGAAGUUUCCUGAUGGAUCGGCAUCCUUGAGAUUAAACAUUCCCAUAUGUAGGUUGACAUUUGAAAAUGUAAGUCUUAUGAAAGAUAAGAUGGAAAUUAAGAGAAAUGCAGCCUUAAAUAUUUGGAAGCAUGACUUCCUGGUUUGCAUGGCAGUUGGCAAAACUUUCAGGGGAAAGAUGCAUGUGGUAUAGGGCACUCAUUUGCCUAAAAGUUUCCUCCUAUCACCUAAUGUUUUGGUGCUCAUCUCUUCCACACCUUUGGAGGAGAGCUGCAGCAUCCUCUCUGCGGUGCUUUCAACCCCUCAGACAGAUGUUUUAGAUCAAUUGCUCGAAACGGAUCAGUUUAGCAGUCAGAAAACACUGUCAGAAAAGGUUUGUGGUAGAGAAGACAAAACUGUGAAAUGAAAUUGAACUUUUAUCCCCAUUUGGAUGGGAACUGUGCGUGGCUGGAGAUCCCAUGAGGAUGAACACAGUGACCUAUCGUGCUUUGAAAAACCAAACAGAUGACAGGGCUCAUCUGCAGCCAUCAAGCAACAGCAGCUUCUGAGAAAUGGUGUGACCACUAUCAUGCAGUGCAGCAGGAACUAAGGGAAAGAUAAUCAUGGGAAAGAGGAAGGUCCUCCUGCAGCAAGGCAAGAUGAUGGUGAUCUCCUGCCAGGCUACAAGUAGCACUGCUGCCCUUGCUGUGAAGGUGUGACAACACAAGACAUGCCGUUGCUGCUGGACAUUGUUUGAGCCAUGAUUAAUGUGCCAGCAGUAAUGGGUGUCAGCAUUGUCUGGCUGCAAUUGGCACACCUUAUUUCUGAGAACUCAGGGUACGGAGGCUGCUGUGGUCACUGUGGCAACCAUGAGCCCUUCAACAAGACAGAGAGAUCUCAACCCAAACCGCUAUCUGUCUGCCUCUCCCUGGGUAUGUGUCAGCACGAAUCUCCAAGUGUACUUUCUUUCCCUUAGAAGGUGUUGUGUGCUGUGUCCCGUGGUGACCUGCACAUAUGCUGAGCUGGAACUCUGCUUGGCACCAUUCCUCAGCCUAUCCAUGUUGCAGUGCAAUCGUAAUAUCAUGAGAUGGCUUGGGUUGGAAGCGACCAUAAAGAUCACAUAGUUCCAACCCCUUGCCAUGGGCUAUGUGCCCCCUACCAGCUCAGGCUGCCCACGGCUCCAACCAACCUGGCCUUGAGCACCUCCAGGGAUGGGGCAUUGUCAUGUCUCCAAUGGCAAAUGUGUUCCUAUCAUGGACUGUGCCUCUGCCCCUCCAUCACUACUGUGCCCUGCAUGCCUGUGCCACUUGCUUUUUGGUCGCAUUGUACUUUGUUUCAAGAUGUUUUGCAGCAUGUUGCCUUUGCCUGCUUGCCUCCCUCCGUCUCCGUGCUGGAUGAGUUUGCAUUGUGUGGUGUUUUCCUCUUCAUUUAUUGCAAACAAAUCUGGUCUCUGCCAUUUGUUUACUCUUAUACUCUGUCUUUAUGCCUUGGUAUGCAUUUUUAAUUAGAUGCGCUUCAGUUCUUUCGCUGCUUGUUAACACUUUCGGAUGGAAAGUGCGGUCCCCACCAGCUCUGCUAGUAUUCUCUGUGUGGAGGAAAUGCAGAUUUGUUUCUCCUGCCCCUGAUUAUCAUCCAGUACCAAGAGUCGGGCCCCAGCCAGCCUGCCUGCUCAGACCCUAUGUUCCUACUGGGGAUGUUAAGAUGGUUGCCCCUUCUCAGCCAGUGUAAUUGAGGGUGCUUUACUCCAAAAUACUCUGCAUACAGAGAAGGAGUGUUUGGGCUGUUUGCUUGGACUGUUUUCAGGCCUCGUCAGCUCCAGUGUGGAUGUGUGACAUAGAGGAGUCCUGGGCAGAGCCCGCGGUGUGUGCAAAUCAGCUGCGUGCUGUCCCAAGCCCUUCUGCACACUAUGAUCAGGAGCAUCCUGGGGAUGUUGGCCACAGAAUAAACAGAGGAUGGAUGAGCCUGGAUAAGGAUACUGAAACCCCAAGCACAAGGCAGUAUUCACAAAAAGGCAUCUUUCUUGAGUGCCACUAUUGAUAAAGCAUCAUUUCUUUUUCUUAAAAAUAGUGUGAGCCCAUUUGUGCUUGUACUAUUUUGUUCUGCUUCUGUAUCUGACUCAUGCCAUGGGCAGGGGCCUUCACCCUCCCUAGUGCUCUCCUAGACCACCAGCUUUCUGGAGAUGGUGUGGGAACUGAGAUGGAAAAUCUUGACCCCACUCCACCCUUCCCUUCCAGUUUGCCUGCCCUGCUGAAGCAUUCACUCACCUCCCUGUUUUGCCAGAAUUCGUGUGUUCUCCAGAAUUUAAGUUCCUGAGAGGGAUGGCAGGACUGAAAAGAGGUGAAAAUGUCUCUUCCCAUCUCUGAGAGUGUUCCCUGACCCGACUCUCUGACUGGGGGCGAGGUUGCCAGAGGUCAAUAUCCACUUCAGUGAGUAGAGAGAUCGAUAUCUGCUGAAGCCAAUGCCCAGGAUUGUUUCCUCUUCCUUGCCAGCACUAUAUUUUAUAGAGAACAGCCAAGAAAUAUUUCUCCUCCCUUCUAAGGAGAAGAAGGGGGAGGAAAAAAAAAGAAAGAAAAAAAUGGAGAAAAAGAAAAAAGCUUUGUCUUCAUACUUUCUUCCCCCAGGAGGGCAUUGCAUUUAGCCUCUGCUCUGCUUUUUGUUAUCCAUUUGCAUGGCACGAUGUUUGCUUUGGCCAAUAGGGCAGCGCUGGCUCCUUGACUGGGGUGGGGUUCUGCCGGUACCCAGCGGUGUGCAGAAUGGGGACAUUCAGCCCUCAGCCCUAGGUAUUUUGGGGAUGCUGGGAUGCAGAGGACAUCCCAGAUGGUGCGGUUUCAUGGGGAGCGCCAUGGUGGUGGGAGCAAAGUGCUCAGUGCUGAGCCUGAGCACUCCAUGGAGCCACUCCAUGGAGCAACAUCGUGUUGGCAGGAGGAUGAGGUGUAUGAGCUAAUAGGGCUUUUCCAUUUUAAUGUCUAUUCAAAAAUGACUCUUGGUUGCUGUUCUCAAACUCGGCACCAACCGUUCCUUACACCACACAUCAGAUCUUUCUUUCUUUUCUGCCCUUUGCUUCAUGGAGAAGGCUUUAAAGCAAACAAACACCAAACUAUGAGAAACCAAGGGAAGAUGCAGACUGGCCCACUCGUUAGUGCCGGAGUGUGGAAACUAUGAAGACUUCUUUUUUUAUUACCAAUGCUGGAAAGCACAGUCACCGAGUGGGCUGGAAUACAAGUUAUGCUACACGCAGUAGUUAAAAAAACCUGCAAAAAUGGGUGUAACCCGUGGCUGUGGUACAACUGGCCUUUCAGCCCCCACUUGAGAUUCGUCCAUCCCAGGGGGAAACUGUGGUUUGGAAGAACAGUGUACAUUUAAUUUCACUCGGAGAACUUAUUGGAGUUGGCACUUCAAGAAAGACUCUGAAGUAUAUUUUUUGUCAUGAUGAGUGGCCCCCUCACCACUGCAUUUGAUUGUGUUGGAAGCAGAAAAGUUAAAUUCUUAUAAAAUGAUGAUUUACAAUCCCUGAUGAUCCAGGUAGGGCGCGCGGAUUGCGCCAGCGUGGUUAUGGGACUCCAAUCUCAUCCUCUCUCAUUGCUGUGAGAAAAUAAAACCGAAAUGUAAAAAAGCUGAAAACACAUCCUCUGAUGGCUCGGGGAAUUUUCUUACUCAUACGUUAUCUUUCCUAGUAGUUUAAGUUAUUUUGUCUCCACUAAAACCCAAAGCAAAACACUGCCCUGACACUUUCCCCUUGAUUUCUGAUCUGCGGCAGCCAAAUUUAUUUUUAUCUCGUGUCGUCUUUUCCCCCAUGGUUAUGCAAAUCCUCGGAAUAAGGGGCAAGGGGAAAAGCUAAUUUUAAAGCCAGUAAAUUCCAGUGGGAGAUUUCUUCAGUCGCUCCAAGCGGGACUAUCCUGGGUGCUGUUGCAGAGCUGUGGCUACCUCCAAAUAACACAGGGGUAGGUGCCAAGUGGGGAGGCUGAAUAUUUUCCUUGUAGACACAUAGCUUUGCCCACAGGACUGAAGUCUCUUGCCUUAAUGCUGCAUUAAGCUUCUCUGGAAGUACAAAGCUGACUUAGGAGGCAUGUGUUGAUGAAAUGUACCUCAUUGCAAUCGGCUGCUGAGUAGAACCUCUACAUGGAGGAGUUUGGCAAUGGGUGAAGGUGGGGCUCAUCAGAACUAUCUUCAGGAAAGUGUGGGGCAUUGGCACCUCAUUGCUUAUUCCAGCAAACUUUCUCUGUUUUGGCUAUCACGUUCUAUAUUUUGAUAUACUUUUAGUCUUUCUUUCUCACUCUCUUUUUUUUCCCCUCCUGAACAGCGGAUGUAUUUUUAAAUAAUAAAUUCCAUUUUCUUCUUCAUUUCUCUAUCUUUUUCCCCUUAAUGCAAGCUUUACUCAAAUCUGUUUAAAUCCACAUUUAAAUCUAAUGUACAGUAAGAGAUACUCCACGAUUUUCCAGGCUGAAAAAUCCAGGAGUGUUCACACUGGGAUCUGCUUUGUGAGCAAACUCAAGUGUGUAUGCAAGUGUUGGAGCUGUAGUCUGUAGUUCAGUUUUACUGAAAGUACUGGAGGCAAUCAGAGUAUAUGGCAAGCAUAACGGCUUCUAAACAGCACUGUGCUCUUGUUCACAGUGCUGGUGCUGGGUUAGUUGAUGCAAUUCAUGGUCAAUGUCUGGAAUCACAAUCAGAUCCUCUUUGCUCCCCCUUUGAGUGCCGUUGCAAUACUGCAGCAAAUUAACCAGAGACUGCUGUGGGGCUGAAGUUUCUGUAUCCAGCAAAACUCAUGAGCCCCUCCUGGUGUGAUGUGUCAAGGGGAUGUAAGCAUAUCUGUAAAUGCUGUGUGGUUUGGGAAGUGUUUAAAUACUCAUGGAGGCCUUUCUCUGUUCUGGGGAAGGGAAGAUGAGGAUGUGAAUACUGAUGGAAAUAAUUUAGGUGCAAGGUCCCAGGUUUGGAAAAUUUGGCCCAUAAAAUGCAUGCGCUAGGGGUGCUUGUGGUUGCAUAAGAUAACAAAAUGCACAAGUCAUGUGGAUUAAUCUCUCGAGUUACUGCAGGGGCAUAUUGUGUUCAUGUUCGUGUAGCCUGAUUAAGCUGCGUAUGAAUUUACAUCCCAGCCUUGCAGCCUAAUAAACCUAUAUGGUUUAAAAUGCACGGCGGGGGCUUUGUGCGUAAAUUCUGCUCUCACGAAGCAUGGUGUGCACGUCUGACUCUUCUUAGAAAGAGCCGAGCGCGUCCCAUUCCGUCUGCAAAUGGGUGUCUGAAUGCCAAAAUAAGUAGGAUAAAUAAUUUGCUUGAAAUAUGUGUUUGGGAGCUUUCAACCUAGAUGCUCUCUUCCAAACGCUCAGCUCUUCAUUUGCAAAUUCUCCGGUUUGUUCAAACUUUUGGACUCCAUUUGAUCUGGCUGGAAAUGAGAGCACAUCAGGCCUCGUACGUAAUCAGAAAAUGUCGUGUGAAAAACGAAGACUGCUGGGAGUAGCAUCUUUGUGGGAUUCCAGCUAAACCAAACUCGUUCGGUGCUGCUCCAGCCCUGAGCAAACCGGCCUCAUGUCUGCAUGUGCAGCCUGGGUUACUCCUGAGAGCGGCUCCGGGAAAGAGUUAAGCCUGUUCUCCUCUCCUAGUUGGCAGAAAGUUUGCAGUUUAAAAUUACAUACUGACUCUGGUGUAGAGACACAAGAAAUUAUAGAGCAGACACUGUCCAGGACAACGUAUAAUUUAAAAUGUACUAAAGAAUGUAUACCACAUGGCAAAGUAAGUGAAGUGCUUCUUCAAAUAUAAGUGUUUUGCAUAGAAAGGCUGUAAUUAUCCACUCCUAGGGAAAUGUUUGCAUUCAUUCUAAAUCAAUAUUUACUAUUCAUCUCUUGUGUUCAACAAAACAAGGAUUUAACAUUUUUUUGUUUUAAUGAGGUACUAAAACUACAAUAAUGCUACAGUGUAAUUGUCUUGAUACAAAAUAUUGCUAAAUUGUGUUGCUAUUUCGGGAGCGAGCAGUUUUUAAAAGGAGGGGGUAUCCCUGUUUGUGCCAUGUUCCUGCAGUAACACAAUCCAAGCUCAGCCAAGCAGGGCGGCUCACCACUUCCAAAGCGGAGUUAAGCCGCCUCUCUGUUAAGGCCCUUAACUGGGAUCAUUCGGGUGAGUCCUCUGUCUCCCCCCGAAAACAUCAACCUCUUUAUAAUGAUUCCUUUUCAGCUGGCGUCUCGACAACAAGCAGAAGAAUGCCAUUUCUGUUUCGGGUUUAAGGUUGUUUUCUCCCCUCAGCAUCCUUCAGAGAGGCAGCAAGAGCUGAGCGGGUGGUAAUUGGGCUGCAGCCAUCCCUGCACGCUGCUCCGAACCUGUUGGUGCAAAUGGGGUUGCCUGAACUUCACCUUCCAGGAAGAAUUUGGGGAUGUUCUGUAGAACGGUGCCAGAGCUCUGUCCUUUAUCUUUUUUUUUUUUUUUUUUUUAAUGCAUUUUUAUGCAUUUCCUGGGCACUGCACAGUGUUGAAGCGGCCCUAAAAUCAUACAGGGGCAAGCAGUCCUCUGCAGGUGAGAGUAUGCUGGUGAAGUAAGAGCACGUGAAGAGGGGCAGAGCUUUUGGAGGAGCACCACUUUUAAUCACAGCCUUGCAUCUCUGCUGUGCUGUGAUUAAGAGGAUGCCCUUGCACCAAGCUCUUUCUCCUUGAAUUUACCUGACAUGUCUUAAGAGAGGUAUCUCUCCAACUACUCUAACUUCAAAAAAGAGAAACCACACCCCAUGAGCAUGUACUUCUGGCAUUGAUGUGGCUCCACGUGAAUCAAAUCAUAUAACUGGAAAGACUUUGUUUGGAAAAGCCUUUAAAAUCCUUUAAAAAAAACAAAAAAACCAAAAACAUGACUUUUUAUGCUUACGCUCUACCCACCAGGCUCUGCCCUCCUUUUCCCAACACUAAAUGCUUCCACUUCUGCUGCUAGAAAUCAUGGUACAAAUGUGAGCUCUUGAGUGAAUUUCAUUCUUCUGUUCAAGAAGAUAGCUUCGUUUUCUUUGUUUCUUACAAAAGAAAAAAAAAAUCUGAAGUCAUUCUUCCAAAAAAAAUCGUGCACAUAAAUAGGGUGAAUAGCCCUGAGAGAAGAGUGCUCUCUUUCUCUAGCAAACGUUAUUGAAGCUGGUGUUUUAAUUCUCCAGAUAUCUCUUGGUGUUCAGGGUAACAAAAGGCUGUGUAGUGCCUAAUCAUUCAGCAGCGAUCCAGGAAAAAGCAGAAGGUUAAGAGCAAGUUCCUAAAGUCUGUAAAAUCAAUGGGACGCUGGAAAGGGAACUGAAGUGUACCAGAAGGGACCUCUUGAGGGUCAUUAAAAAAAGCAGAAACUGAUUAUGAACAGAGCUUUUACCCAAAGAACUGGAGGGGGCCAGCAAAACCAUUCUGCUGCACUCCAGUUAAAUGUCUAAUAGUGGUGACAUUUUCUACACAGCCCAUAAAGGAUAAUGAAGAUGGCUUUGAUAGCUUUCAAGAUAGUUGUUCUUGUCAGUGUUCACAAAAACAUGACAUGAGCAUGCACUAAGAGCAUGCGGGUUGAGGUGAUUGCACCAAGACUGUGAAAGGGAAGAUGGCAACCCAAUAUUGGGUCUUCCACCUUUGUAUUACGCCCUAUUACACAAGAGGAAAAAAUUGUGUCAGCCUAAAAAUGCAAUGGAAGUGGCAACAGUGACAAAGCUCAGUGUUGUGCUUAACCAACAUCGUACCUCACCUUGGUGUGGUGGUUAUGUGCAGAGAGGUAGCGAUGUUGGGCGAUCUCACAAACAUCAGCCUAGAUUCUCUCUCGCUCCAAAGCAGAUGAGAAAUAAGAUUUUGAUCUAAAGCUUAUCAAAAUCCCUCAUCGUCAGCAAAGUUUGGAUCAGCACCUCAUAACUUUCUGCUCAUUUUCUGUGCUGGGAAAAAGCAACCUGCAGGAAGUCUGUCCCAUGGCAUGUUUGUGCUAUUCCUGUUUCUGACCCCAAUCUUCUGUGAGAUUUUGGUGAAUUGCAGUUUUACUAUGAUGUACGGGAACAGUUAAAUCAUGGCCUGAACCUCUGAUUGAUCAUCUGAGGCAAGCACCAAGUCAGCUGCAGGGGCACAGGUGAACGCAAUUUCACCUGAGUGACUGGAAGGGGUGGAGCCUGGCUGCACCCCUCCUAGACCCCAUUUAAGGGCUGACUCCCAAGGAGGAUGGAUAUCUAUCUGGAGAUCCUUCCUCUUGGAGCCCUUCUAUGAGCCCAGGAUGCGGGUAAGAUCUUUAUUUCAUUUCUGCUUUGUAAUGCGAUAAUCUCUCUGGUCCAAUAUCUGUAUACCUGUUUGCCAUAUGCUAUGAUUUAUUUUCCAAAAAAGAAAAAGAAAAAAAAAAAAAAAAGGAAAAUUAGGGUAAACUCGCAUAUCUUACUGGAAUGCUCUAAAAAAAUAUUUGUUAGAAAAUAUUUGAAAUAUCAGUGGGAUGAUGCUUUAGUUCGGGGUGAUAUUGUUCAUCUUAAAAAAUAAGUAGCUAGUUCAUCUUCGGUUUUGGUCUACAGUGAAGAUGUGUUGGAAAAAAUAACAGAAACUUAGAGUAAAAAUCAACUUUGAGUUCUUUGUACUUCAGAGGAAGCAAACUUUUUUUAUAGAAAUAGAUAUUCACAGGGAUGAAUUGCAUGUGAGUCUGUUUACUAGUGGAAAAGCUGAAUUGUGAAACUUCUGUGUCACUGCUCUGUGAUUCCAACUAUCUUCAAUUAAGAGAAAAAAAAUGCAGGAAAAUCAGGUGGAAGGAAUGCAUGGAAAUUGAAGUCAAAGAAAAUAUUUGUUGUGGCCUUGGUAAAGUGAAUUUUCUAAGCUGAAGUAGCUUUUAAGCAAUUAACAUCUGCUGAGUGAAAUUACCGAGUGACAUGCAGCCCCAGAUGGAGGACUUGAACAGCCAGUGACCAUCUGGAUUUUGGUCUUUGCACAGAGCACGCUCUGUUCUGGCUCUCACCUGGCCUGUGGACAGCCCUCUAUCUGCCUCUCCUGCCACCGUCAGCCUUGAGUCAUGGUGGGGAGACCUGCAGGGAUGGUUCCUCUGCUCACAUCAACUCCAAAGAUACUCGAAUUCCCCAGAGAUAUAAUCACUGAUGACUUUGACCUUUGAGUUGUUGCCUUGACCCAGUUUUCCAAAAGGAGAAAAACUUACUGGGAUAAAAUCCACCUUUGAGCCAUAAGGGUCUUGAUACACAAUGGUUUCCAAUGAAACAUAUGGCGUGGGAGUCUUGGCAUCUGAAAUGCCAAGAAAAUCAGAUCUUAAAGAGAGAAUUUUGUCAGCAGGCUUUCAUAUUAAAAAAAAAAAAUAUAUAUAUAUAUAAAAUAUAUAUAUUAAUACAAUUACCUUCCUUAGAAGGUGUAAAAGAUGUCAGGCCCAACCACAGGGACAAUUCACUGACAAAAUUCAGUUUUUAAAGUGAAACUAUAGUUUUUUUUAAAUUCAAUGAAUAAAAAUCAUCUGACAAAGAGUUUUUGACUACUCUGUAUCUAAAAAUGAGCCAGCUUCAUUUAGUCUAUUUAAAAAUUGUGUAUUCAUACUGCUUGUAUGCCAAGUUCAGCAUGAUGGAAAUGAAAAUGAUUGAGGUAUAAACCCUUGGAAAACAGGGUUUAUAAUGGAAACAGUAAUUGACUUCUAACUACCGCAUCAAAAAUACAAUACUAUAAUACAAAGCCUAGCUCUUGGGAUCUCAGCUCCCUUCUAACCUCAGGUUGGCAGAAGAACACCUCACCACAAAGCUAACUAAUGUUUAUAGCUUGUUUUUUUUCUCUUGCAAAAGGAACAUGGCAAGUGAAGAAAAUUUAUAGGAACAAAGCAAAGUUGGCCAACAGUUCAAAUGUUCUCUCUUGUUAGCAACAACAUUCUUCUUCCCUGGAUGAAUGCUGUAUUUUGGCUGAUAACUUUAAUCAUGAAACUUGAGUCAGAACUGAGCCUUACUCUCAGCGUUAGAAAUAGUUCAACUGUUCCUCCGAAGUUCACGCACUUGGUUAUCCUAAAAGGAGAAGAUUAAAAAAAUAAAAUCAACAGCUGUAAAAAUUUCCCCUUUCCCUGUAUGGCCAUGAAUAGCACAACAGGAAGGAGAGGAGAGAUGGCUGUGGUAAUGGAACAAAGUAGAUUUAUUGAUCUCAUUAAUGAUGCUUACCCAAGAUAGUCAUCUUUGCUUAGACUGAGCUUAGGUGCCAUUUUUGCUGCUAAUUAUGAUUGUGAAGACAUCAUGACAUCUUGGAUUAGAGUGAAAGUAGUGGUACUAAUUCUCAUUAGGAGCUGAAAACCAUGGAGGACCAGGAAUUUCAACAGGGGAACCAGCACUCAGCUAUGGCUGAAUAAGAUAGACCCUUCUAUGGAUGUGUGAAAUAAAAAUGAGUACUCUAGGAUCAGUAUGCAUUUAAUAGAAGAAGAAAGAAAGACAAAUUCUACUGAGAUCUUUGUGCCUGCAGUACUUCAACAAUUCUUGCUACUUUAUGUAUUAUUAUUUUAUUAAGUUCAUAUUUUCACAGGUAAUGAAGAAAAACAGAGAAUGCAGGAGCACUUUGUGUCCAUAAAUGACUUUAGUUCAGCUACAGAUGAAGAAAAAAAGUAAUUCUAUUUUCUUUAGGUAUUGUUGAAGGUAUACCGCUAUAAUCUCAGAUUUUUUUUAUGUACCUGCACCUUCGCUUCUGCCAGAAUUACUUGCUGCAUUCAUCUAGCUGCAGAGAGACUCUGCUGAAGGAAAGAUUGCACGCAAGGACCUCAAUUCAAUGCCAGGUGGGAGGAAUGUUGUUGGGAGAGUUGUGGGUUAACAUCAGCAUCUGUUGUAGGCCUUCAAUUCCUUUUUAGAUUCCUUUAUAUCUGUGAGCUGUUCAAAUCCAGGCUCUUCCAGAUCCAGCUCCUGCCACUAUCUAUAACCUUAUAAAAGAAGUGGGUAUGCCAAAACAAGAUGAAGACAUCAUAAUUUUUUUAUUCUUUCUUCCUAUGACUUCAGAGUGUAUGGAAAAGUCUUGCAGUGCAUGACUCAAUGGGCAAUAGUUGUGAUAUACUUGCAGUGGUUGCAACCAUACCAACUGCCUAUCCAGUCUGGGCAGCUCAAAAGUCUGCUGGCGAUCACAGUUAGUUGCACACAUGUGAAUUCAAGACUUAUUUUUAGUCAGAUUUCACAGUAAAGUUCCUCUGGGCACUUCUGUGGUAUUGAACACAUUUCAUUGCAAACGAUACUAUUGAUGUUAGUGCAGAGAAGAUCUGGGACUGAACACAAAGGUUUAUUCUUAAACCUCUUUUUCCUGGAGCAAAGAAAAGUUACCUUUACUGGCAUCCAUGCCUGUACUGAAAUACAACUCCAUUUGAAAAUGAUUGGGAAAUUGCCAGUGCAAAUACCAAAUAAAGACUCCAAGAAUUGGCCCUUUACGAUGAGUGAUUUAUGAUUUAUACUUUGAACAGUACAAGCUAUGCAUUUCUAUUCAGAUUUUGAAAAACAAGCCAGGAAAAAGCAACAAUAGCUUAGUAAAAAAUGUAUACGAUCAUGGAGUGCCAGUACAGUCUUUGGCAAAGGAUCAAGUAAUGAUAAGGCUCGACCCUAUAGGGACAUUCACGUUUUUAAAGCAAUCUAUGUGAAAUAAAUCUGAGAAUGUAUGUUUAAAUUAUAAAAAAAAAUACAGCAUGAAUAUGUAUUUUGUAGCUAACAGCUCCCUGUUGUUUUGGGCACUUUUCCUGCUUUAGUACAGUUUUUGAGGAGGAAAAACCUGACUGGAGCACAAGGUACUUUUCAAGUCCUAUUUUAGGUCGUUUGCAAUCAUAGAUUUCCCUAUUUUUCUUAUCAUUUUUCUGUGAUUUGCUUUUUUAAGGGUAUUAUCUGGCUCAGCUUGGCACAGUUCAAGUGCACAACUGCAACCUUUUCCAUGACCCAAAAGUCAAUGCCACUCCGUGGGCUGGCAGUUUGCAAAUAAAACGUAUCCUUAAUGAAGUGUGGAAGCUCCUGUUCUUUUCCUUCCUCAGGAGACGUGCCUUAAUCUCUGGCUCACAGCCUUGUCAAAUGCUGCAGUAAAGAACUGGCAAGCUCAGUGCUGCUAAUGGAUUGAAAUCUCCACCAGGUUGUUCUUUUUUAAUCUUUUUUCCUCUUUUCUUUUUUUCUUUUUUUUUUUUUUUCAUUCCUAAAUACAGCAGCAACCACAGUAACGCUCCAGUCCUCAGUCUUUUGUAAUUAUUGGUUAGGGACUCUGGACUGAAGAACAUGUAAGGGAAACGUAUACUACACCACUGAAAAGUGUCAAGGAUUUGGUUGCUUAUGUAGGUCAAUCAUUAAGGGAAAGAAAUAAGAUUAAAACCAGAGGCUGUUCUGCGUAUUUGAAGUUCCUCCUGAAGAUAUAAAACUGUGGUGUUUAUGCUUAUAACUUGUGACAGGUUGGCUAAGUCAUAGGCGUUUUGUCUCUCCUAUUGUAGGAGCUGAGAAUGUUUGGCUUUAUUUAUUUAUUUACUGUCUUUUUGCCAGAAGGUAACUGUAAGCUUGUGAAUCACAUCCGAAUUGCUUGAAAAUGAGGAAGUACAAUGCUGGGAAUUUUGACAGACUCUCAUGUUUGGUCUUUUUGUUAUUGUUGUUAGAUUAAUAUAGGGCUUGGGGUAGCUCUCCCUAAUUCUGGCACAAACUGAAAAGCUAUGUGUGUUUCAGAACUUAUGCUUUUUUUUCUUAUUACAGAGAUAUGCUGUGCAACCUCAGCUUGCCUUUUCUAUGAGCAGCUGAAAGACGUCGCUAAGCAGAAUUUACCCAUUUGCAAUGGCAUUUUGAGCCCAAGCGGGCCUUGGGCAGGGUGCAAAGAGAAACAAAGAAGUUUGUCUGCGAGGCUUUUACUGAAUCUUAGCCAAAGGUACGAGUCUUUUAACGAAGAAAUACAGCUUCUACAGACUUGCUUUCUCUUCUUCAGUAUAAAUUUUGAUGUAUAAAUAACGUUCCUACGGAGACCUGGUCAUCUGCUGGUAUUGAUCACCUGCCUCCCUGUCCUCCAAGGUCUGAUUCAGUCAUAGCCUGAAACAAAUGUCAGCACCUUUACUGGAAAAUGUAGUAAACAGUGGAUUAGACAAACGAGAGGGCUGGAAAUGGGUCUGCUUCAAGUCUUACCGCAUACCUUGUGGAGUGAUGUCUGGAGAUGGUGGAGUUGUGUAUCCUCCGUUGAGACUGCCUUCAUGGCACAUUUGUUUCAAGGCAUGCAAUUGAGACGCUCGGAUACCGAUGUUCAGAGCCCUCUUCUCCUUGCUUACCUAAAUUUAGUUAAAGAGCCCUUGAGAUAAGCUGCAGCCACAGGUGAAAUCUCUCAUUUCUUUGGCUACUUAUAGAUUACCAUGAUCUGCUUUGGUUUGGAACAGCAGCUACCCAAAGGUGAUGCUGUGGGAAUGCUACCUUGAGGAGGAGGAGGGGGGGGGGAAGUGGAGGGGGAGAUGAAAACUCCUCUGAUUUUUUUCACAAUAGUUAUGCCCUGAGAAUCAUUGCAUUACUCCCAUUCCGCAACACAUAAACACACGUCAGAUGUGUGGUAAACCAAAUUCUCUCAGGAGCUUGUCCUGAAAGAGGGAAAGACACGAUGAUUUAGAGUCUACAUCUGCAGCUCUUGCAGCUGCUUCAGUUCCUGCUGAUGGAGGAAAAUUCCCUGCAGCAACAGCCUCCUGAGGCAGAGGCUUAGAGCAGUUCCUGAAGCAAAGUCCCAGAGGCUUUGGGCCCAACGCUGUCACUUGCCCGUUGGGCAGGUGAGGAGCAAGCAGCCACUGUGCAGCAUGGUCACUUCUGCUGUCAGAUGCAUCACCUGCAAGUGGAAGAGGGCUGUGUAUCACUCUUUCUGGAUUCUUUAAGAUUUUUAGAAAGGCAGAUUAGAGCAGGCAACUUCCUAAACGAGGUGCAGGGCAUGGUGCGGCCUUGGCAUACCCUUGGUUGAAGCUCGCAGGGUGAGCUGCCAAUGGGUGUGAAGCCUGCAGGAAUGUUUUCACUGGUGGGGAACACGUGAGACUUUUCUUCAGCUUCUUGCAGUAAGAGGAUGUUCUGGAGGGAAGUCUCAUGCAACCUCUGUAUUUUGAAGUUGUUCUCGGUGACAGACUGGGAAUGCAGCAGCACCAGCACUGUGAUUCUUUCCAACCUAUGUGUAAAAAAACACCUCUGUACUAAACAGCUUUUCUGCCUAAUGAGCUAAUAAUGCAUCUAUGAGUUCAGUUAUUAAAGUAAGUUUUUAUUGCUUUUUGCUUAUGUUAGCACCCCAGACUCACCAAACAAGUCGGGUAGACUGGCAAUUACCAGGGCUCUAGGAACAGGGAUUCAGCUCCCUCCUUCCUCUGCAGUGAGGAAAGGAGAUGGGACCAGACCCUAAAGUCCUAGGGAGAAGUGUUCACCUGCUUGUUGAUUCACUGCCGGCUGUGUUCCCUGACUGCAAUCAGAGCACAUUUUCCCCUUCAGAAGUUUAGAAUCAAGGAGAAGGUAAACACAUGCCAAAUCUUGCAGUGAUGUUGGCCCGCUCCCAAAGUUGCAACAUAAUGAAGAAAACGUUCAGUUUAGAACUCUGUGCCCCUUUUUUACAACAUUCCUUAAGUUACUCAUGACAGAUGCAACUUUCCUGGCUCCAGAGGCUGAAACCAAGAUUCUGAGCUGUUAUCCUCAAGGAUAUUGCAUGAGCAAGCCCUCUCUACCAUGGCAUUACUGCUUCAUCCCAGGAAUAAUUCACCUGAUGCACCCUGAGACCAUGCUGCCUUUUUCACAGGGUAAUGUUAAUGGCUAAAAUGAUCAGAUGGGAUGUGACCUUCGGCUGCCCUGGGCAGAUUCUCCUAGGUGACUGUACUGUGGGACUGUACAGAGCCAUGCUGGAUCAGAAAUGGAAAACAGAACCAUAGCCAGCAACAGAUGGAUAGAAGAAUUUUGGCUGGAUGUUGCACAAAAAGGUCUACGUACUCUUAGGUUUGUGGUAGAAGAGUUCUCCAAGAUGCUAAUUUUAGGUACAGUUUGAUGUAGAACAUUUGUUCUUCAAUAUCGACGACCUUCUUCAAAAGCACACAUUAUUCCAGACCUUGGGUAUGACAUAAAGGGUUAAGCUGUCCUGUUGUACGGAGAAGCCAGAGCCGCCUCACUGCUCUGUGAAAUCCAAGGAAAGCAGUGGCUCCCGAAAUUCCCUCCCUUGCCUGAACAGUUUGAAGACUGGUUUCUGUCCUAACUUGGUCUGAAUCUGCCUUUGGUGCCAUUGUGGAGGGAGAAAACACUUCAACUGUGGCUUUCCCAACAGCCUUUUCCUGGGAUGGAUAUUUUCUUCUACAGAAGAAACUUCUACAGAGAAAUUCUGAUACGGUCAACUAACUAGAGCAUCUGGUGUAUGCAGCUGGUCUAAGGAUUCAGCAAGAGGUGAGACCAGGAGCUGUUUAAUCACCACAAACAUGAAGACUAACCCAAGCAUGCUCUCCCUUCUCUGGAGGAAGUCAAGCAGCAGCACUGAGGCAUAAAUGUUCAAGUCCCUUCCAGACGUCUUGCCUGCUUCUGCCUUGAGUCACUAGAAAAACAAGGUGGUUUUGCUGGGUGGAGAUUUGUGUCAGAAUAACUUGCAGAACCGAGCCCUCAGUUUGCAAACGGCGUCGAACUUCAGUUCAUUAAAAGAAAUUUCAGAGGUGAGCUUCGUGAUGCUUUAAACAAUCACUGGAGGAAAAUAUUGGAGCUUUCCACCAAGGCCGUGAGCCAAGCCAGGUUCCAUCUGUGCACUCUCCUCUACUUGAGUGGUCACGUCCAUGUGCCAUUACUAAGGAUGUAUGGUGGAAUCAUGCCAAGCCUUCAACCUCACAUUUUGAACUUCUCAAUAAGAAAGACGGGGGGAUGGUUUUAAAAAGCAAAAGUCCAUGUUCUUAAGCAUCAUACUUGCUCUUGGUAUUACUGGCAACGGCUGCCCAGGAAUCACUGUCCCUGGAGGUAUUCCAGAACCACAGAGAUGUGACACUGAGGGACACAGUGAGUGGACAUGGUGGGAGUGGACUGCAGUUGGACUUGAUCCUAGAGGUACCUCUGAGAGACAAAGGUCAGGAAAUGGGCUCCUUGCCAGGCCACGGCCACGAUCCAGGUUUUCUGAGACUGAGUACAUUCAUCUGAGCUGUUAGCUGCUACGCUCCACCGCAUCCCUGUAUGAUCUGCCUAGGCUUGGUCCCCCAGAGGAAAUUUCUGCAUGCAUACUGUAUAUGAACUUUAGAUAAAUAAAUAAACACGAGAAACAGCUUCCAGAUAAUUGAAAGCGAGUGAAGGAGGGAGCAAAAAGAAAACAAUUUCUCAGGGGAGAAGCAAGCUGAGGUGGCAGGUGCAGCCUAAAUUCAGCCAAGGUAUUUUGGUUGUUCACUACCUUCGCGUAAUUAAAUAUUGAAGCACGCUGAGCUGUGGUAUCAACAUCUGUAUGGUACAAAUACCUUUUCAGCCCAGCUGGACUCAGCUGCAUUAUCUGUGACCUGAAAAGCACACGCUCACCUUGGUUAAAUGGGGCUCGACUCAGCAAUAUUCAGCAGAGCUGCGGCGGUUCCUGGCUCCGGCCACCAAGGCUCCACAGGAUUUUCACUGCUCAGGUGUUGCAAAGCCUAAUCCUUAUUCAGGAACCAAAACGCUCCCCUCUCCUUGCCUGCGGUGCUUGGAUGCCUGCCUUUGGCAGUAGCCCCAGACUCCUGCAGAAGAUGAAGACAUCCCUCCAUGCCUAUAGAUGGAAAAGCGCCAACAUGGAUGCCAUCAGAAGGACGCAGCUGAGCAUAUGCUGAGAAAAUUGUGGCAUCCAUACUGUACAUGGGGAAGGGCUGACUGAACACACCAGUUUGUUGAAGCUUAUGGCCCUGAAAAGGAAACAUAGGUUUCCUGUAAAUGUCAUUCAGGGAUAUGCUAACUGUUAUUUCCUGGCACUGGAUCAUGAUGCUUUCAACACAUUCUGUUCCUCUACCUCUGCUGCUACCUCUGCUGCCUGCCUGCCUGGUUGUGCGCAGUGAUAGCUCUCCUGUCUUCUCACCUUUCCUCCUCCCCGCGCCAGGCAAAGGUAUUCUGGUUGGGAGGGCCAAUGUCAGCGAGCGAGAUGACAGACGGAGAGAUGAAAUCUCAGCCCUGCACUCAGCCUGGCUGCUGCCUGUACCUGGGCCUUGCUGCACCAUCCCUUGAACGCAAAGCAAUUCAAGGAAAAGAGUAACUUCUGUUACAUUAGAAAUCACGCAUUUCUGACCCAGAAAGAGAGGAAUUUCACAGUCUCUCAGGACAUGUGCUUGAAGGGAGGAUUUCUGGAGCCUAAACCAGAGGAGCCCAGGAGCUGCUGGUGUGAAGGCUCACCGCAAGCACCUGCUGCUUCUGGAGGAGUUCCUGUGGCAAUGCAUGUGCUCAGGAUGAAUAGGUACAGCUGUCCAGUUCUAGUAGAUAUUUUUCCCUCUGGUUUAUACAUAUUUGAAAAGCUACACAUGAAUAAACACAUAAAUUAAUGCUAGAUGUACUUCUUAUCCAUGCAAGUGUGAGCUGUAUGUAUAUAGAUACACAUACAAAUAUGGGCAUAGUUAUCAGCCUUGGUAUCCUACUUGUUAAGGUAAUUGUGUCAUUUAAAUUCUGUCAUACUUGGUUCAAGACAGAUUCAUUAACUGGUCCUAUUUAUUACUCCAGGAUCUGAGCACCUGUUUCUUAGAGGUAAAACCAGAAUAAAUCUCCUAAUUUCCCAGGUUCUUUUACAUUUUUGCUUCGAAAUAAUGAGACGCUUAUAUUCAAAGAAAAAAAAAAUGAAAUAUCUGAUGCUGAAAAAUACAAUCAAGUUAAUUUUUUAGGUAUACCGAGGUGAAAUUAUUGCAUUUGUUUGUCUGUGUAGAUAGUUUUCUUUGUGCUGGCGUAAGACCUGAUGCUGGCCAUAUUCUGUGAACACAGUUAUUAUCAUAUUUAGUAUCUUAAAUGUGUACGUACAUAAUUGCUUUAUAUGUGUUUGUGCUUCCAACAUAUCAGACUGGCUAAGAGAGAGCACCCAUAGCAGUAUCAAAUUGCUUAUUGCUCUCUCCACAGUCAACUAGAGCACAAGGAGGAGAGGAAGGAACAACAGAAGCUCUGACUAACAAUUUCUCUCUCUCUCCCUAUUUAUUUAGGAAUCCAAGUUAACAGAAGGAAGAAACAACUCUUUUGUAGUAAUGCUCUGUAGGGCAUUAUCACAGCUAAUCUUAUGGUGGUAUGUUUUAGUCCAAAAAUGUUACUGCUCAGGUCCAUGCUACACCAUUUGUCAGUUGUUUACACCCUACAUAUGGAUUAGCACUGUAUGCCAGCCAUGAAAACCUGUUCUGCUCUUAACCCACCUGCAUGAAGCGCUGAAGCAGCUCACUGCAUCUGAUAUUUAGCUUUACUUCCUUAAGAUGUUGGACCACAAGAAGCAGGCACAGGUACAGGUAACUUGGUAGUGUAAUAAACUCUCCCCAUGUUUCAUCCACCAUUGGCUGUCAAGUUUAAAGAUGUUUGUAAUGAUUUGCCACUGGUGAAAUCCAAAGUAAGACUAGGAAUGUGUCUGUUUUGGCCAACUAGUAAUGACAGCUUGAAUGAUAUUGCACCAAAGUACUUUUGGACCACUAUUGGUUCACUGCCUGAAAAUAAAAUCUUUUUAUUUAUUUUGUCUCCUAUACCCACCAUUCAGAUUUCCUUCAGGAAACAUACCCUGGCCCCUGUCCACUAUCGGAUAGGUGAGAGCGAGGCGGUCUUUGCAGUGGUUAAGCACAAAUUUUGCAGAGAAGGGAUAAAGUGUUGUGGGCAAGGACCUGUGGGCUGAAAGUCAGAGUGACCAUGAUGCAGUGCCAUCACCCCACCUCACAGCUCAGAGUCUUGCAUAUCGCAUGGGCUGCCUGGAGCCUACACAGUUCACAGAGUGGAAAAAGGAAUUGAAGAAGCAAAAAUAAAUACUAAAGCAUGUAAGAAUUAAAUAUCACCUAUUUAAAUAGCAAUUACGCCGCUAAAAACAAGAUCACCACACCUGUACAAGAAAAGACAAGCAAGCCCAAAACAUCUGUUUGCAUCCACCUGCCAAGCACCUGUUCCGCUGUUUCAAUGCCAUUUGAUUGCUGGAGAUGUAGAGGCUCUUGUGAGGCUGGUCGUCACACAGGAAACUGUAUGCAGAGUCCAUCAGCCCAUGCUCUUCAUCACGAACUCAGUUGCUCUUUAAGACCAUCUCCCAGAGAUGAGGAAGAUGCGUUGAUCCAAACGAGACGCAGCCAAGCUUGGAGCAUCCUCUCUGCUCCAUCCCAAGGAGAACGGAAGAGCUGGCAAGCUGAGACACUACCAGUACUUUGUGGAAACCGACAUAUGAAUUUGUUCUACAAAUGUGCCAGGGACACACUGAUCCAACAGUUAGAUCACUUCCAGAAGACACGGAGUUAGAUCUCUGAGUUCACUUCCAAUUGCUGACUACUACUAUCCAAUAAAAGAAAAAUUCUGCGUAAAGUAAACAAGGAAAAUGGAGGAGAUUCUGCUGGAAGGACAGAAGGGACAGCAAGCAUGGAGAUUUAAGUCAGAGGAAGACCAACUGUCACUGCAGAGGGGAAAGGGCAUGAGAAUGAGCACUGCAAGAAAAAAAAAUCAUCAAAAAAUUCCUCCUUCUCUGGGAUGAAUACAGGGGAGUAAAUGUGUUCCUACAAAAAUUGAAUUAUGUAGUGAUUUUAAAUAUGGUGUGAGAAUGAAGGACAUAUGAGCUGCAACGAGAGAACCAAAGAGGAAUUAUGUGAUGUGUUCAGGCUGGGAGUGUGCCUCACAUGACAACAGGAAGAGAGGAAAGGUGGAGGAAAAAAAGAUCAGAAUCUACUCUAUUCUGAGCCAUUAAUGUCAGCCAUGUUGAUGUUUUGUAGCUAGUUAUAUUUGCUGAUGGUUCCCACGCACUCAUGACAUUCAACUUUGCAUCAUCCCCUAAAAACUGGAAAGAUGUCUCUCUGAGAAUGACCUAUAGCUUUGAUAUCACCAUAACUAAUUUCCUUUUCCUAAAGUAAUGGUGCCUACUCUUGAGGAGCAGAAUGCUGUGAGCUUUUAUUUCCAGUCUGAGGAUAGUUCUGUGAUAGGUGGAAUAAUGCCAGAACCUACUUUUCAUUAGAUUGUAUGAUCUGACUUUAUCUUGCACGCUCUGUGUGGUUUGAGUGAAUAAAUCACACCAGAAUUUAUGGGGUUUUCAUCCUUACAAAUGAAUCUUCAUCAUUACUAUGUGGAUAUAAGUAUUCUUGGGCUGCAGAAGACAGUGAGACCCACCAGGGCAACACAAACUGAUGCCAACUUGCCACCUACUACUCCCUUAACCCAAAACUCCAAGGACCUGGGCCACUGAAACACUGGGAUCCCAUAGGGACCUGCCUGGCCAUUCCAUUUGGGGUUUGCAGGACAGGAUCCUGGUCUUUUGUGAAAACUGUUGACUAAAAAUUUGAUUUUCUCUUUCUCUUUUUUUCUUUUACCUUAAGAAGGGCAGAAGAGGAAUGGCCAGAAGCCACCUCCUUCUUUUUUGGACCAGCCUGCUUUUCUAAGGGCAACAAAAACCAACAGAAGUGGUAGAGAAGAUGAAUGCAUCUUCCCUCCCUUCACAUAAAUUUGUGGGUUUUUUUUUCCUGUUGUUGUUGUUUUAUCCUUUUUUGUUUUAUUAUUUUUCCUAUUUAUUUUGCAAUUGGAAAAGUCCUGGGAUUUCAUUAACAACUUCCCAGGAUGACAGUGAGACCCUCACGACCCAGCAGCGAGUCCCAGUUCCCACCUGGGUGCCUCUGGAGAGUGACAAAUCUCUUGGAUGUGCUCUAACAUCCCAGAAGCACAGGCCAGGAACAUCUGUCUGUUCCUUCCCUUCCUUCAGACUGCCCCGAGGAGGAGGGAGGCAGGCAAGUAAUGAUACGAAAGGCAAAGGCUCGACUGGCCGUGUUACAUUAGCCAACUCAAAUAAUUCCUCUUGGCUGUGGAAACAGCCUUCCCAUCCAAAGCGGUCUUUUUUUUUUUUUUUCCCUUUUUCCCCCCCAAAAAACAAGAACAGCUUAUUUCCAAUUUUGGGCAGGUUCCUUGGCCAUGGGCCAGCUCUCCCCAUUGCCUCUCCGUGCUACUUCCCAAUGACCCUCAAGUGACCUUACUGAAUGCCACGGGGACCAAACCUUACCGAACAGCAAAAUCAAAGUAUGCAAAUGAAGCUUGGAUUAUUACAUAUAUAAUGAUGAAAAUGUUUUUCCUAUGCUAUUGCCUGUGCCCAGCUUCCUUCCCUACCACUCUGAGUGCUUCAGAGCUGUGUAUAGCUGUUGAGCUGAAGCACCCAAGAAUGGCUCUGAAGCAGGAAGAGAGUUCAAUCUGCAGGCUGGUUUUCCAGGCACUUUCUUUCUCAUUCUCCACAAGAUAGUUGAUAUUCCUCCGGAUUUUGCUGUUAUUAUUUGGGUGUCUCUACUUCACAGAAAAGGGCAGAUGAAUGCCUUUUGCAGCCUCUUCAGUCCACUCUAGUUCUAUUUUAGGCUGAGAAGACUGUGCUGCUUGGGUAGAUGGGUGCAUUUCAUGCCAACAGCUUAGUCUUUCUGCAAAGUUAGGCAUCUCAGUUUGAAAAAAUAAGUACUAGGUAAAGCUGUUUGAAUCAGUGCAGGAAGCUGAGUUGCUAUCAGAUGUAUAUGGCAUAAAGUACGUAUCCUGAUAGGUACUCUUCUUCAAAGGAAAAGUGGUGAUGUUUACUUGUGCAUUUUAAUGAUGAGAGGAUGCGUACUGUGACACGAAAUCCUAUCCACUGUACCAGUUCAACAGCAUUUAAACACUGAAGUCUGAGCUACGCAUAACCAAUGGGAAGGAUGUGGAAGAACGCUUGCCUGAAGACACCUACUCUUUAUUUUUAUUACAAAGUCAAUUACCAUUUCAAAGCAGCCAUGUGACAUGUAUACUGUCAGGAGCCAGAUGUUGGCAUUGUGAUAUUGUGACAUUAAUUUAAAAGAAGAGUCUUUUUUUUUUUUUUUAAAUGCUGACUUCCCAAGGAUUAAGUUGGAUAUUCUCAAUGUAGUUGAAAAAAGAAUUUACAUUCCCCAAAGACAAACAUUCUUGUUUUCUGUUUGGUUUUAUAACUCAGUCAUUUCUCUAUUGAAGAAGCACAAAACAGAAAGAACUUUUGGUUUCAGGUAGUUUCACUUCAGCUGAUCUUUCUAAAAGCAUGCACCUUUUUAGCUGUUUCAGUUAUGAAUCAUAGAAUGGCCUGGGUUGAAAAGGACCACAAUGCUCAGCCAGUUCCAACCCCCCUGCUAUGGGCAGUUGCCAACCACCAUAUCUUCUUUAUAAAGGGAAGUUUAUUAAGUAAAAUUUGGGUUACUGAGGUUUUAGCACAUGUUGCAUUGAAUCCCUUUUUUUCCCCCCUAAAUCACGUGGUUAAACUUAGUUUGGGUCUCUUACAACCAGAAUCCCUGCUGACUCCGCUCUGGUCCAGGCAGAUUGAACUGAGUCGCAACACUGCUGGUACGCGUCCUCAUCCCCAGUGCCAAGAAAAACCCUUUCCCUCUGUGUUUUCUUGUUAGCAAUACUGCUAUGGAGGCCAAGGACUGACAAUCUUUCUCUUAAUUCUCAAAUCCUCUCCUCCAACAGGGAAGAAGGAAAAAGAUUGAAAAACCUUUUGCUAUUGUUUGGUUGUUUGAUCAUAAAGGGGAACUAGACUGCCAAGCCAGCACCCCAGCAGCCCUAAAUCUAUGUGUAAAAUAUGGGCAAAAGGAGAGAAAAGAUUUAUUGUUAUUAUUAUCAUUACAGACUACCUUUAUAAUAUAUGUGUUUCACUUAAAUUAAUAUUUUAUAACUCUAUAUCAGCCUCUGCAGCCACCCAACAGCAUUUCUUAUUUAUCCAGUCGGACAUACUAAUUUGCUUUUAUCAAAAUACUUGAGAAAUAAUUGUCUUACCUCUCCUAGGACAUGCUACAGGGUUUAUUCUCUCCUUGCUAUCUACAUAGUUAUAAAUCCUCAUGCAUUGAGAGCAGAAUAGGCUUUAUGUGUCUAGCAAUUUCUUAUGAUUUCUAGGCUAUUAUCCCCAAAUCCUAAUUAACCAUUUUUAAAAAUAAUGUGGCCUUUCUACCACGUGAGAUAUACCAACAUGAUAAGAUACGAUGUGAAAGUCCCAAGUAUAAUGUAAUUCUGCUGCUUUACUUUUCCUCUUUUAUUAGAGAUUUCUAACAUAAUACUGCAUUUUCAUCCAAAGUGACAGGAUUCAGUACAUAGUUUGUAGUAUAUGUUUUGCAAACUGCCAGAACAGAGCCAUUGAAUUUAGUUUUCUAAUAAUCAUACAGCCAUACAACACGCCUGUACAUGUCAGAAACUGAAGAAAGCAAAUUUAUACACAACAAUGUGUAUUUUGUAGAUAGCGAUAACCCACCCAAAUCUAAUUUAAUCAAAUAUUUAAAGAGGUAAUAAUUAAUUUUUAAAGAAUUGAAGUGAACCGUAACUAGGAGGAAAUGUUAUUGUUUAUUUUUAAUGCCAGAACUGUAUUCCUGAUGCAUUUUUAAUAUUUCAUUAAGGUGGUAACUUUCAUGGCGUAAUUUUUAAAGUUUCAUAUCUCCCUGAUUUAUUUCUUUUCUUCUGAAGAAAGGUAAAAUGCUAUAGGGAAACUUAAAGCUUAGAAUGAUGCAUUCUUUGAGGAGCUCUUCCUAAAACUUCCUGGAGUCUUUUUAAGCAGAAUUCUUCUUAAGCCUUUCUGGACAAGCAUUCUAAAACCAGAAGUCUUUUAAACAAGCUGAGGUACAGCAUCUUCUUCUGAGCUGAGCAAAGGGUUCUUCUUUCAGCCAAUGAAUGUGUUCAUCGGGUACUACUUUCUAUUCUGUCUCCGAGCUAUUACUCAUCACUCAUCAUUCUUACUUUCCAGAAGAGAUAUCUGCAAGAAUGGUUUUAAAGCCCAUUGCAUUUCAAACCUGUGUUCUGCCCUUCCUCAGUCCUUUGUUUUUUGUUUUAUCCCUUCUUUUCGAUGGAGCGUCUCUCACGUUUUUGAGCCUUUCAUACUCAAACUGUGGAAGCCUGUUUAUUUCACUCUGGCUCCAGCCCUAGUUAAAGGUGUGAACUACCAAAGUGGAAGGGGGCACAUGCACAUUAACACUGCUGUGGAAAACGUCGCCUGACAGAUGGAUGCAUGUUAAAUGGGUGUUUGAAGAAAGGUGUUUGCAAUAAAAAUCCUGAGUAUGGCAUCAGAGGAAGACCACACACAAUUUUCUACUUUUAUUUCUGUAAUAUAUAGGGGCCAGGCUACUUCUGGUCUGCUUUAUACUGUCACUUAAUCAUAUUUGCUAUUUUAUACUAAUAAUUUGUAUAUUAAUAUUUGUGUGUGUAUUUCAAAGUCUGGCUGUUUUCAAGGGUCUGCUCUGCAGCACAAGGGUCUGAGUCAACAUAGUAUAAAUCAUUGGUUUAUUCAAUAAACAAAAUAGUGAAAGGAUAAAUUGAAUUUCUCCAGUUUCAGUCACCAGUUCUUGAUCUCUGGGGGAUACUCACCUAAUAUGUUAGUUAUGGAGCUAUGAAUAUGAUGUGCAGAUACAUCCUUGCUUGGGUUUAUCUACCUUGACCUUAUCUACCCUAAGAACUGAAGUGUUUAAAUUCUGGUUGAGAAUUGAAGCAGGUGAUUAGAACUAGAUGAUCUUUGAGGGCCCUUUCAACCCAAGCCAUUCUAUGACUCUUUGAAAGAGGAACUGUAGAUAAGUUCACUCAAUUUCUGUUCCUAAGUCCUUAGCUGUUCUCUGGAUGGAUAACAGGAUUUUUUAGGCACAGCAUUGCAUUCUCUACCAUCUUUGCUCUUUUCCCAAAAUAUUUCUGACUCAGUCAUCUCCUGCCUACACAGCGAACUUUUGCGCCCCCUGACUUAGGCUGAAUUGGUUUCUCUUUAUGUACAAACAGGACUGCUUUUUCUUUCCUGAUUUCAUAAUUGCUAUUUCUAUUGGUUUGCUUCUUUUAGUUUUCAAUUCUACUUCAACUUGACUAUGAAGAUUAUCAAGAAAUAAAGCAUGAUUCACAUCUACACAUAGUUUACGACCUUUAGAUUCAAGUCCCUUUAUAUAAACUUGCAAAUACGAAAGGAUACGUCAUAAGACCUUGUAGGCACCCAAACUGUCAGUGAAUUCAGCCUGAAACUGUUUUUUUCAGCUUUAUUGAGACCUCUUUAUAAGCUGUGCUCGUGUUAUGACAAUAGAUUGUUUACAGAUUCUUAAAAUGUCCUGAGUUGAUGGAAAAAAAAGGGCAAUUUUUUUCCUUACAAAUACCACUUGACUUUGAGGAGUGUUUGAAGCUACACAACCAGAAUAGGAACAUUCACACCCGCUGUACGAGUGGCUCAAAAACCCUGUCAUUUCUCUCAGGCCCAGCUCCAGCAAGCACUUACACACAUGCUUAACUUUAUGCACACGAGUAAUCCCAUUGAUUUAAUGGGAUUAUUCCCCUAUGCACAGUUACGCAAACAUAAGUGUUUGCAGGACUGGGGUCUAUUUCUCUUGCAAUGAUUUGAAACCUGUGGAAGAAAACGCUAUAUGCAAGUUAGAUAUUAUUUAAUGGCCACAUAUUAAGCCUGAAUAUUUCUGCUGAAAUUGGUGAGGCUGUGUGAGUUUCUUUCUGGCUGAGAAACUGUCCUCUUCUGUGCACAGUGUACACUCCUAGCUUGCUAUGGUGCACCAUGGCUAUCACAGCAUACAAAGGCAUAUGGGAACUGUUGAGUCACAGCCUGAACCACUGACUGAGCACCUGGGGAAAGGACCUGGUCAGCCCUGGGAGCACAGGUGAAGGCAAUUCACCUGUAUGACUGGAAGGGGUGCAGCCUGGCUCCACCUCUCUUAGAUCUCAUUUAAGGGCUGACUGCCACUGGGGAAGGAUCUCCUUCUGGAGAUCCCUCCUUGAUGGAGCUUUCCUUUGUGAACCUGGAAUCAUCUGAUACAGGUGAGCAAUCUUCUUCCCUUCUGUUAUAGCACCUGUCUAUCAUGCUUAUCCUUCAUCAUUAUAUGUCUAGUGAAACACCUUUUCCCAUCAUAUUGAUCUGUCCAUUUACUACAAAAACAAAAUGGAGAGAUAAUCAGUAGUAGAAGUACUAAGAGAGAAAAUUCUCCAUGUCCAGAGGUUACUGUAUUUCAAAGCAUUGAUUUAUAACUUGACAAUGACAUUUACAAAACGUUCCUCUAUGUCCAGGAUAUCCUUCUCAUUAAUGCAAUAACAUAAUAACUCAUAAAUAUUUCAUAUACGUAGAAAAGGCUUACUUUAUAUAUAUAUGUGUGUGUAAAUAAAGAAAUCUAUACACAUAGAGAUGUAUAGUAGAAAAGUACUUCCAAGCAUCAAAAAACUAUGCAUAAAAUUGUAUGCUCGCAUGCACAGGAUGAGCACUGUUAUGAAAAUAACUUUGGUAAAAAUAACUGAACUUGAAGUUGCCUCUGACUUGGAUAGUUCACUUUUGAUUUGAAAUUCUGCAGCCAAGAUAAUUUUUAAAAAUUUAGGGCUAGUAACCAUCUGCCAUAAAUGAUAGAAAUUAAAUAUAAAUAAAAUAGUACUUCUACUACCAGUGAUGGGAAUCACAAGCCAAAUGUAUCCAUGGUCUAGGCAGCAGGAACACUUGUAGAACGAAAGCAGCUAAAGGAGCUGUUUUGGCCCAGACAUGUUUUGAUGUGUAGUGUAUCCUGUUGGCUGAACAACAGCAUUAUUAAGCAAUUUGGGCUGGAGCAUCACUGGGCUCUGUGAAGAAUUUGAAGAUCUUGACUUGAGCGUGUUGCAAGAAGAAUCAUGCUGUGUCAUUCAGUAAAAAUAUAAUCAGUCUUACGCCACUGGCACAUUCAAACACCUAGUGGGAUAUGCUGGGCAUCAGUGUUCAAGGUUUUAUGUAAGGUAACAGCUGCUUUGGUCAGGCAGUUAAUUAAAUGUGUUAAUUUUCCAUACAACCAACAGUAGUGACAACAGAUCAAAGUGGAAUUUUAUGACAUUUCAGGGUUCCCUUAUGUGAUCACAAUGGUGGAUGGCACCCACGCUAUCUUUCACAUCCCUUCACUGUAUGAUGCUGCCUUUCCCCUCUGGAAAGCUUCAGUCUUUAACUCUGCAAAUACUCCAAUGGUAGUACUUUGGUACUACUUGCUGGAUAUUGCCAGUUGUCCCAACUCCAAUCUUGAAAAGCUGCUUGGGCUUAUUCCCAUACUGAUGUUGGUUUAGUCUGAAGAUGAAGCAAUUCAUUUGCAAAGCUAUUUUGAAUUUUCUGCCUCCUGUCUUACAUUUCUUAUGAGAAAUAUUCAAUGAGCAGAUAUGUAGUGUGGAAAUAAACUAGUAUGGUAUUUUUGAAUAGAUACUGUAUUCUUCAGAUGUAGAAUUACAGAAAAUUAUUUCCUUUUCCUUGAUAGUUCCGUUUGCUGCAUUGCGAGAUGACAAAUUCAACCUUUUCCAUAACAUUGCUACUUUCAUAACACAGUAAUAACUCAAAGGCAUCGGGAAAGAUAAGGUAAAUGGAGAUGAUUCAUGGAAACGACUAUGAAAGCUUUUUAGAAAUAAUGGACUGACAAAUAUGAACAAUAUUUGAAUAAUAUAAAUGAACUAGACAAGUUUCUUCCCCACCAAAUGGAUAUAACACUGUGAAGAAAUGUGGAAGAAAUGUAAAACAACAAGUUAAGAGUAUAAGGACUGACCGAAAAUGAGUCACACUCCCACGCUUUUGGCUCACAAUUUGAAAUACUUGUUUUUACUUGAUUGGGUAGCCACUAAAAGUAUAUAGUAAGAUUUGUUUGAAUUUGAUCUGUCACUUUUUUGAUGGGUGACAAUGAUUUUAUGACAUAUGCCACAUAGUGUCACAUCAUUCAAAACACAUUAAGUCACGCUCUAUCCCGUCAUUUCUGAAGGCAAUAAUGCUAUUCAAUGUGACGUGACAUGAGGAGAUGUAACACAACUCAACAGCUGAAAAAAAUAAAAGGAAAGUUUUGUAGGUGUGACGUGGGUUCCUGAAAUUACAUUGUAAUGAAUCUUAGGAGGAAGAUCCCAGGAGCUAAGUUUGUAAAAUAGAUCCAUUGCUUGACUUGUGUCUUUAGGAUGAUGAGCUCUGGGUUACCGUGCACAGAGGGGCAGUGGGUGGAUGCUACAGUCAUGACAGCAGUCUCACUGGGCUCAGAAGCACAAACUAGCUCUUCAGGAACUACUUGCUGGAGGUUCUUAUGCCUGAAAAGAGACAAGACUGGAACCCUCUAUGGCUUGAAACACCUCUGAGUGUUUUAGAGCAUUUAAAAUUACUGCAGCCUUGAGGAUGUCCUAGGCAGAACCCAUUACAAGCUAGAUAUUUGCUGGUUCUAGUCCUCUAACAGCUCCUUAUGGCUGUUUACAUGGAUGGAUAGUAACAGGAAAAGAGGGAAUGGUCUUAAACUGAGACAGGGGAGGUUUAGGUUGGACAUUAGCAGGAAGUUUUUCACACAGAGGUUGGUGACGCACUGGAACAGGUUGCUCAAGGAGGCUGUGGAUGCCCCAUUCCUGGAGGCAUUCAAGGCCAGGCUGGAUGUGGCUCUGGGCAGCCUGGUGUGGUGGCUGGCAACCCUGCACAUAGUAGGGGAUUUGAAACUAGAUGAUCAUUGUGGUCCUUUUCAGCCCUGGCCAUUCUAUGAUUCUAAUAAAAUUAAAAUGAAGGUAUUUCCAGUCUAUAUGAGCUCUGCUCUUGUUUCUUAAACACUAUGUACUGUCCUGCCUUGGGACCAUCAGGAGCAGAGUGUCUGUGUUUUAUAUAGUAUCGUGACGCUAGUUAUUAUUUCUGACUGCAAUGAAGCUAUGUCUACUUAUACACGCAAACAGCCUUUGGCUAGAUUAACAGGAAGUUCUCUCUUCCUACACCAAAAGUAGAACCUCACCACAAAAUGUGAAGUUGCCUGGUCAACUCUGCAAGAUCUCAAAUUCUACAGCUACUCAGGUUGCACCAUAGAUGUUUUCCAGGUUGGUAUAACUUAGCCAUGCACACAAAUAUGGUAUGCUUGCUAGUAUUACACAGCUCCAAAUCUACGCCUUCAUGAAUACCGUCUAGUUGCACAUUAUGUUUUUAUCACCUUUUUGUUGAUGGAGCCUAUGAAUACAGAUUCUCUAAGAUCUUUGGAUACUGUCAGAGUUGGAAGCUCAAGAUCACCCAACCUGAAAUGCUUCCUUAGCUGCCCACCUGGAAUCACUGACCUGAGUUGUCAUCUCCCAAUUCCUAAUAAAAUUCCUGGGAAGGUACUACAUGGCUGUUUUCUACUUUCUUGAAUCUGAUUUUGUUAUAUUCCUUUAAAACUGUCAUUGGAAUUUUUCCUCCUUCUGCAUCCUAACUACAUAAUAACACAGUCCUUAAACCCAGUGUAUAUGAUACAGCUUCAGUAAGAGAAUCAGAAUAGCUGAUCACUGGGGAAAUAGGGCUCUUAUCCAUGUGAGAAGGGGUUACGAAGGCCCUUGGACUUCAGCCUCCAACUCUUAGAUGUACAGCUAACCACUGAACAUUGUAAAUGGGGCACACAGUGCCAGUGAGACCUGAUAUGAUGGCCAAAAAGCUGCUCACAGCUCUGAAUACAAACAGAAAUGUGGGCCCAACUUUCUGCAAUAAUUCACCACCCUAUUUUCACAAUUUCUUAUUAACUUCCCUCUUUUUGGAGCUGCUGCUGUUCUCUAGGCCCGAUUUUCCCUGCUGAUUGUCUUAGAAGACAUCGUUGAUGUCUGGAGUUUUCAUCAUGUUCUAGGGCAGCUGAGAACUGAUCGGAGUAACGUCCAUUCACCUCUUUCUUUUGUGACCUUUUCCAAAAAAAAAUAAACAAUCCUCUGCAGUUCUGUAACUAUCUUUUAAAAUGUUAAUUACUUGCAGGCUGAGUAUCUUGAAGUUCUUCCACCUUUGCUACCAAAGAGUAACUUGUGUAAAUUCUCACUUUGUUGUCACACCUGUUGGAAAUCACUGUUACAACUUAGGUGUGAAAAAAUGUGACUGAACUAUACGUAGUAAGAAAAGUACACACACCAAUCUCAAUGUAAGUGCAUCACUGCUGCUAUAAAACAGACAAAACUACUUUGGUGACAUUCGCUGUUACUGUACGUUGACAAGUUCCCAUUUAAUUUACUACAUAUGGUUCUACGUCUCCAUAGCUACUCUCGUGAAUUCAUUAUUCAUUAAAUAAGUGAUGAAUUUACUCAAAUAUUGCAGCCACAUGGCCGACACAAAUGCAUUCUAAUAUUAUUAACACGUUGCCAACUUGCAACUCUUCGAAGUCUGAGUAAAUGUUUUGACAAGAAGAGGCAGCAAGAACAAAUAAGUAGUAGCAGUCUAGAUGAAGUUCAGCCAUAGUUCUAACAGCUUUAAAGUCUUAACAGUGUUUUCACUGGGGCAGUACCAGAUAAAUUGCUCUUAUGUGUGCAUACAAGAGACUAAAAUUCCUUUGAAAGUUUAUAAUUUCUCAUGGGAAAACACAACAUAAAAGUUACUUUUACUCAUAGAAAAACAACACCAUAUUUUCCUGUCAACCUUUGCUGUUGGGAAUUUCAAACUUUUUGCAUUUUUUCCCUGUGAUUCUUUGUCGACCCAAGGGACAGGCGUUUACAACAUAAUUUACUUUCAGCAUGUCUCUGUAAAUCAUUGUAAUACUUUCUAUGGCUAGAAAGAAAAAAAAAACGCUCUCAAGUUGGACUGACAAAGUACUUUUCUGAGCCUCCAACAGCCAACUAAAAACACCUCUGUUUCAGAAAUGUGGAGAGAUACACAAAAGAAAAGUUUUAUGAGGGCUUUGCGUGAAUGUUUGUAUUCAGAGGUUGUAGCAUUUAUUAGGAAAUAUUUAUUGAACUGCAUUUACUUGCAGUAAAAUAUAUGGAAUGCUUAGUGUGUUGGUGGUACAAAUUAAAAUCACCAGCAUCCCAUGUUUGGAGGAAGGCCGUUAUUUUUUCCUUGCUGUUAUUGAGGCCUGUUGUUGUCACUGUUGUUGUACGGGCUUAGCAGAGCUGUCUCGGAUUAGGUGAUUUAAGCAUGGCCUCCCAUAAAAAAAGCUGGAAACCUGUAGAGCCUUUCAGCCUCACUUUUUGAGGCUGCUGCUAAUAUCAAGGCUCAUUCAGUUUUACAUUAGAACUUGAUGACUUGCACAUUGGUUGAACCUUCACCUUUUACAACCUUAAUGGGGAUUUAUUAGCUAUUUCACAGUGUGUAAAUUUGAAUCUAGGUCAGAUGAGGAAGAAAAAUAGGGCAAAUCUGGGCCUUAAGUAUAACCUGCAUAUAAUAUAUCAGGAUAAAAAAAAAAGGUGCAAAAUUAAACAGAUGAUUAAAAGUGUCUAGAGCAGUCAGAGUUUGAAAAAAGAGCUUGAUAAAUUAGGGGUGUUAGCGGGCUGCUUUUUUUUUUUUCUGAGUUCAAACUCAGGUGACUGGUGAAAGUCUGGUUUCCACACAAAUUCAGCAGAUUAAGGAGUUAAAAUAGCUUGUUAACCUGUUUCUGCUAACUGCUCGCAAGAGGAAAUGUAACACAGGUGUGUUUGAUAUUCGCAAGAUUAAAGCUUUUGUCUACCAUCAAAUGUUCACCACAUUAAAGCUUUUUUAAUGAGGUAUUGGAAGAUAAUGAAUGUAAGCCUCUAAUUCACUGCAGAAGAGACAGCUUGCCCCUGCUCUGACCUCACUGCAGCCAGGUAUCUACAACAUAUUAGUCACACACAGACCCAAAGCCAAAAUAGCCACUCUGCUAAAAGCAGAAGUGUUUCGAGUGCUAGAACUUUUCUGCUCAGCAUCCUGGAAAUUUAAAGUCAGGUAUUCCUAGAGUGAGGGUACCCAUCCCUUACUACAGGAGGGCUGCCUGGAUGAGGAAAAAAAGCAGCAGGCACAAGGAGGGGUUUUUACAGUGCCUGUGGAUGGGGGAGUGAGUAAGGGGAAAAAACGGGUGUGAAUUAAUGCUUACUGCUCAAUUAUCAUUCAUCUUAACACUUAGAGAUGCUUAGAUAGUCAAUAGCUGGAGCAAGGAAACGCUGGG
ensembl:lncRNA